GUUAAUUAUUGCAGGCGUUUGUUGUAAUUAUGAACACAGUUCGAUUCAUAUGAUCUGAUUUAUACUUUGCAUGAAAAUACGUACAUGAUAGAGACGAUAUAAUAUAAAGUUACUUCCAUUUAUUGCUUAACCACUAUCGAAAUAUCGAAAGAACUGAUAGCUGAACUGGCUACAUACGUAUUUGGAAAAUAAUGUCUAAAAGAUACUGCACAAGAGGACUAAUAUUUUUGGUAAUUUAUAUAG
rnacentral:lncRNA from 1 species